ensembl:lncRNA
AGGCAGUGGGCGUCGUCGCUGCUAUUUCUCUGUUUGAGUUUGAUUGGCCAGCUGUUGCUUCUAGCGUCACGGCUCUGCCAGCUGAUCGGAGUGAGAAGCCGGUUUGAAGAGUUGAAGGAGAGAGAGAGAGAGAGAGAGAUAGGGGGAUAGCCCGUGAAGCGACGAGAGAAACGGGGGAACAGGGCGAGCAGGAUAUGCCUUUUUACUUCCCGUGUUAUUUAUUUUAUAACAGUUAAAUCGCACCGGACGGCUCCAAUAGAAAGAUAAGCGACAGAGUGAUGGAGAAUUUGCGAGGCUUUAAGCCACCGAAAGCUCGGGAACUGUCAGAAAAAAUUGACAGAGUUAAGGUGUGGCUGAGAGAUUUUCAAAGGCGUUUGGUAUAGUAGUGUUUAAAUUCAGGUGGUUAAGUUUAUACUGUCGUUUUGUAAGCAUGUACGGUUGAUCAGUAUGGCUGCUCCCACAUUUAUUACCAGUCAUGCUUAAUCGGGGUGAUCUUUUUUUCCUUAUGCGUUACAACUCAAUGUGCGCACCUUUUAAAUUGAGUAGCCUAAGUGCAGCAGCCUAGAUUUUGUCACAUCGUUAAUAGCCUGAUUCGUUUUUUAGGGCAGUGGGUUCCACACGUAUCGUGUCAGGAGACCCUCAAAUGUAAUGGACGUGGCAACUUUACAGUAGCCAACCCCGAUCAAUGUAACGUCAACUAUGCCAUAGGCAACUGGGCGUGGGGAAAACCGUACAUUACGUUUCUUUCAACGCCUAAUAGUCAUCAACUCGACCCUAAAGAGAGAGUUGCGCAUUUCACGCAUUAAAUAUCCGAGGCUGUGGCUGCUGACUAACGCUUCGAUGGGACCAAUCGAUGGAUUUACCUUAAAAAAGUUUCACCCAAAGACUCACCCUGAAGAGGUGUGAAGUUUUAGUUUGUGUGUGCAUUCUGGGUGCCUCGUGGCUGACCCACAUCAGUUCUUCACUGGCAAGCUUUAUGUCAUAUGUACCAACUAAAGCUGCCAGCUGAAGAACUGUUGUGGUUGGCUCUUUCCUGCACCUCAAGACCCCUCUCAUCAUGUGAGAUUUCUCUCCGCCUCCAUCCAGGUGACUUGUGAAGCGGAGGGGGAACAACUCCUAGGAAACGUACAGCAUUAUGUCACUAAGAUGGAUGCAACUGAGAUAAAUGUAUUAACAUGCAUGUCAAAGGAUUUUUUGCUUCUACAUUGUAUCUUGAUUAGAUUUGAUUAUAUACAUAGGCCUGAUUGUCUUGAAGGUCAAAGUUAUUUAUAUUGAUUUUACUUAUGUUGUUAAUGUUAUUAAUGUCCAGUAUGAAACAGAAGAGGCAUGUGAUAUUCCAAUGUAUGUUUCACCAACCUUGCAUCAAUGAAAAAUGACAUCAUAUUUUAAUAAAGAAUACUGCACAUCCAAGUCGUGAUUAUUUAUAUUUUUCAUUUUCAUGACUUUAGUAUGAGUCAUUGG